rnacentral:rRNA from 1 species
AGCUAAUCUGCCCUAUGGCCUGUAAUAACCUCGGGAAACUGAGGCUAAUAACGGAUAGGAGAGGUUUUCUGGAAUGAUUUCUCUCCGAAAGUUUGCCAUAGGAUGAGGCUGCGGCGGAUUAGGUUGUUGGCGGGGUAAUGGCCCACCAAGCCGAUGAUCCGUAAGGGCUCUUAGCGGAGGAGCCCUGAGAGGGAGUCUGAGACACUACUCCCAGCCUUACGGGGUGCAGCAGUCGGGAAACUUCUGCAAUGCGCGAAAGCGUGACAGAGCAAGCCAGAGUGCUUUCCUAUAAUUGGAAAGCUUUUGUGAAAUGUAAAGAGUCUCACGAAUAAGGACUGGGCAAGAUUGGUGCCAGCCGCCGCGGUAAUACCAACAGUCCAAGUCGCAGCCGCUUUUAUUGGGUCUAAAACAUCCGUAGCUCGCUUGGUCAGUCUCUUGUGAAAUCUGGCUCCUUAAGAGUCGGGCGCGCAAGGGAUACUGCCAAGCUAGAGACCGGGAGACGUAAGAAGUACGAUUAGGGUAGCGGCUAAAUGCGUUGAUCCUUAUUGGACUAACAAUAGCGAAGGCAUCUUACGAGAACGGAUCUGACAGUGAGAGAUGAAUGCUAGGGGCGCAAAACGGAUUAGAUACCCGUGUAGUCCUAGCAGUAAACCCUGCACACUAAACAUCGGGACCUCUUCGAGAGGUUUCGGUGCUGAAGGGAAGCCGAAGAGUGUGCUACCUGGGAAGUAUAGUCGCAAGGCCGAAACUUAA